rnacentral:piRNA from 1 species
UCAGUUGUUGCUUCAUACCAAGCCAGUGG